UACGAAGGGGGCUAGCGUUGCUCGGAAUCACUGGGCGUAAAGCGCACGUAGGCGGCUUUUUAAGUCAGGGGUGAAAUCCUGGAGCUCAACUCCAGAACUGCCUUUGAUACUGAGAAGCUUGAGUCCGGGAGAGGUGAGUGGAACUGCGAGUGUAGAGGGGAAAUUCGUAGAUAUUCGGAAGAACACCAGUGGCGAAGGCGACUUACUGGACACAUAUUGACGCUGAGGUGCGAAAGCGUGGGGAGCAAACAGG
rnacentral:rRNA from 1 species